CGUUUUGGUGAGUAAUUUGAAAAAAAAAAAUCAGAUCUAUUUCUUCGUUCCUGUGAUUGUGAAGCAGAGCAUUAGAGAGACAGAAAGAGAGAAAGAGAAGGGUUGAGAGAAGAGGAGGAUCCAAACAGGUAUUGGUUUGUAUGCAUUGAUUGAAUACCUUACCGGAAAAA